GUUAAUUUAAGGAUUGAGUUUCCGGUUAGGUUAGAUUAGGCUAGAUCAGGUCCUUCGCUUUUCUCAUAACACUGUUCGGGAAAAAGACUGUCUGAUAAAGGAACAUUUGGGAGGGAGAUUCUUCGCCCUCCCCAACUUUACUACGAAGAGGACAGAGGCCAUUCAUCAUACAAGUAAAUAUUUCCCGAAUAUUCCUUUGAAGACAUGCCGAAAGAUGUUCUUGAAUCACACACACGCACGGACACAUCAUCACUGUACACGAAGAUGUACACCAUUUAACCUUUACUCGAAUUCUCGCACUCACACCUCAAGCGCCUUGUUCUGUGUAAUUCGACACAAUGAAACAACCCGAACACUCGCUUCCCACAAAUCAAACCCCUGGGUCCUCCUGUCCCGGGAAGUGGAAACGCCAAUUUUAAAGAUUAAAAGACUUUAAAUUGGCGGCCGAAGGGACUCUGGUAAUCACACAUCGAUUAAAUGGAAUUUCAUACAUUAGCAUCAAUAAUCGCUUUGUGCUGAAUUUUUCUGUUAAAUCUCUGGAAAUUUAGUAUGGUAAGAAAUAUACAUAUAAUGAGGACGUUCUGUAUUUAAUAACAACAGAUGAAAUUUGAUCCAAUAACCUAGUGUCAUAUCAGGAGACAGAGUCCUGCCAAAAGACAAUCCUGACGACUGAUCCUGCCAAAGUUAUUGACUAAGUAUAUAGGAAUCAGUGUUGCCGAUUUUCGGGGGUCGAUUCAUCUGUCCCCAAACACCUGUAGUAAUUUCGAAUAUCUCGUGUCGUUCGAGGGAAAAUUGUUUUCUUGGUUAGUAUGCAAAAUUUCAAGAUUUUGUAUAAAUUGGUUGCCGAAAUACAAGCAAUUGAAAAGUGCAAAAAUCUGCAAAAAAAGCUGUAUUUACAGCUAAUUUAGAGAUUUCUUCUCAUUUCUGUUCACCUGGCACUGCACACGCUCGUUGAGAAAAUGCUACUGGGUCUAGAAAGCUCAAAUUUUAAACUUAAGCCUUUCUCAUUAUCAGUGAGGUACUGGCGAAGUCUGUAGGUCAAAGUUUACGGGUAUUUUCCACACAGUUAAUUCAU